UCCCUGGAGGGCUAGUGGUUAGGCCUCAGCCUUCUCACUGCCAUGGCCUGGGUUUGAUUCCUGGCCAAGGAG